GAUGAACGCUGGCGGCGUGCCUAAUACAUGCAAGUCGAGCGAACAGACGAGGAGCUUGCUCCUCUGACGUUAGCGGCGGACGGGUGAGUAACACGUGGAUAACCUACCUAUAAGACUGGGAUAACUUCGGGAAACCGGAGCUAAUACCGGAUAAUAUAUUGAACCGCAUGGUUCAAUAGUGAAAGACGGUUUUGCUGUCACUUAUAGAUGGAUCCGCGCCGCAUUAGCUAGUUGGUAAGGUAACGGCUUACCAAGGCAACGAUGCGUAGCCGACCUGAGCGGGUGACCGGCCACACUGGAACUGAGCCACGGUCCAGACUCCUACGGGAGGCAGCAGUAGGGAAUCUUCCGCAAUGGGCGAAAGCCUGACGGAGCAACGCCGCGUGAGUGAUGAAGGUCUUCGGAUCGUAAAACUCUGUUAUUAGGGAAGAACAAAUGUGUAAGUAACUAUGCACGUCUUGACGGUACCUAAUCAGAAAGCCACGGCUAACUACGUG
rnacentral:rRNA from 1 species